rnacentral:rRNA from 1 species
GACGAACGCUGGCGGCGUGCUUAACACAUGCAAGUCGAACGGAAAGGCCCUGCUUUUGUGGGGUGCUCGAGUGGCGAACGGGUGAGUAACACGUGAGUAACCUGCCCUUGACUUUGGGAUAACUUCAGGAAACUGGGGCUAAUACCGGAUAGGAGCUCCUGCUGCAUGGUGGGGGUUGGAAAGUUUCGGCGGUUGGGGAUGGACUCGCGGCUUAUCAGCUUGUUGGUGGGGUAGUGGCUUACCAAGGUUUUGACGGGUAGCCGGCCUGAGAGGGUGACCGGCCACAUUGGGACUGAGAUACGGCCCAGACUCCUACGGGCGGCAGCAGUGGGGAAUAUUGCACAAUGGGCGGAAGCCUGAUGCAGCAACGCCGCGUGCGGGAUGCCGGCCUUCGGGUUGUAAACCGCUUUCGCCUGUGACGAAGCGUGAGUGACGGUAAUGGGUAAAGAAGCACCGGCUAACUACGUG